rnacentral:rRNA from 1 species
AAUUCCAGCUCCCCGAGUGGUGAGGACGAUUAUUGGGCCUAAAGCGUCCGUAGCCGGCUUGGCAAGUUUCCCGUCAAAUCCGACGACAUAAUCGCCGGACCGCGGGAAAUACUACCACGCUAGGAGGCGGGAGAGGCCGGCGGUACUUACGGGGUAGGGGUGAAAUCCAUUAAUCCCGUGAGGACCACCAGUGGCGAAGGCGACCGGCCAGAACGCGCUCGACGGUGAGGGGCGAAAGCUGGGGGAGCGAACCGGAUUAGAUACCCGGGUAGUCCCAGCUGUAAACGAUGCGGGCUAAGUGUCGGGGUGGCUAUCGAGCUACUCCGGUGCUGCAGGGAAGCCGUUAAGCCCGCCGCCUGGGGAGUACGGCCGCAAGGUUGAAACUUAAAGGAAUUGGCGGGGGAGCACCACAAGGGGUGAAGCUUGCGGUUUAAUUGGAGUCAACGCCGGGAACCUCACCGGGGGAGACAGCUGAAUGAAGGCCAGAUUGAAGGUCUUGCCAGACUAGCUGAGAGGAGGUGCAUGGCCGUCGCCAGUUCGUGCCGUGAGGUAUCCCGUUAAGUCGGGCAACGAUCGAGACCCACACCCUUAGUUGCCAGCGGAUCCUUUGGGAUGCCGGGCACUCUAAGGGGACCGCCGCCGAUAAGGCGGAGGAAGGAGUGGGCCACGGCAGGUCAGUAUGCCCCGAAUCCCUCGGGCUACACGUGAGCUGCAAUGGUGGGUACAAUGGGCUUCGACCCCGAAAGGGGAAGGUAAUCCUCAAACCCCAUCUCAGUUGGGAUCGAGGGCUGAAACCCGUCCUCGUGAACAUGGAAUCCCUAGUAAUCGCGUGUCAUCAACGCGCGGUGAAUACGUCCCUGCUCCUUGCACACACCGCCCGUCGCUCCAACCGAGUUGAGUUCAGGUGAGGCGUGGUCUCCUUGGUCACGUCGAACCUAAGUUCAGCAAGGGGGGAGAAGUCGUAACAAGGUAACC